UUCAAUUCCUUAAUUACAGCCACAUUCGCUCCACAAAUCAGACACACGUGUUCACCGGCAGUGUCAGUAAACAUCUACUCAAAAUCCCAUCAGUUUUGAAAGUCUUCGCCACUGUGAGGCGCUGUUUCAAAAUAACUGUACAAUAGGGUUAAAUACAUCAACAGAAGCUCGACUUGAUUGACGCUGGAAUGUUCCCAGGUAGUCUAGCGUUUGGAAAGGCAGCUGAAGCGCUGCAUUAUGGGAUCUGUAGUUUGUGUUAUUAGCGCUUCAUAUCGCUGGGACAUUAAUAACAAUAAUAAUAGAUCUAUAUCAAAUCAUCUCUUGGGCCGGAUAUAACUGUACAUGGGCCGGAUUUGACACUGAUUUUGACACCCCUGAUCUAUGUGAAGACACUGAUCAUGUUAAUGAUUUCCCACAAUAAUUAUCAACAAUGAUUUAACAAGGUAGGAAACAGAUAUUUUUAGAAAAGGCUUGCGGGCGACUCAUGUGGUCCUUGCGGGCGAACUGGUGCCCGCGGGUCACCACGUUUGUAACCCCUGCAGUAGACAGUGUGGACGAGCUUCUUCCUGCAGGCAAUUCAGGCUCUGAACCAGGAGAACACCAAAAGCUACUGACUACAGUCUCUACGUUUUUUUCAUUAAUAGAUUUUAGCAUUAAAAAUGUUUUUUUGAUUGGAAGUAUUCUCAUUUUUUUGAGAUUGAGUGAAUUGGUGGGGGUUUUUAUAAAUGUGAGCCAAAAUCAUCAACAUAAAAAAAAUAUAUACACUAGAAAUAUAUCAGAUACAGAAAGUGUCACUGUGUUACACCCCUCGUGUUCAGAUGGACAGCAGAUAAUUUGUUGUUAUAAAUCAAACAGUCCUGCUCUCUCAUUCUGCUGUUAACCACCAUGUACUCUAUAGGGCAGUAGAAAGUCCCCAGUUACAUGGAGUAAUAAAUAUGCUGAGUACUUUAAAUGUAAUCUUGGAGCACUGAGAGGAAAAAUAACACAUGGAGGAAAAUGCUCACAUGCCCUGAUAUUAAACACUCAUACACCUUCUUAUGUUUGUUUACACACAGGAACUGACCAAAGGCUGGGUUUUUUUUGUUUGUUUUUUUUGUCAUAUAUCUAAAACCCUUUUUCAUGUUUACUGUAUGUAGUUCAUACAUAUUUCACACAUACACUUCCUGAACAGCUCUUACUCAUGAAUAUAGAAGGGGAAGUGGGUACGACAUCAGUUACUGGUUAAGACACUGUUAAAGAUGCAGCACAUUUACAGAGCAGGACAGAGACAGUAACAGUGUGUAGCAGAACAGGAGCUUUAAUAUCUUUCUGAAGUGAAGUUUGUUUGGAGAUCUGUAAGUGUGACCUCAGGAUGAAGAUUUUCCUCCUCAUCUUCACCUUCUGCCUGAUCUCAGAUGGAGGAGCCUCCAAGGAAGUAACUGGAUAUUUAGGAGGAGGAGUCCUUAUCAAGUGCAAGUAUGAUACAGAAUACACACAAAACCCAAAAUAUUUCUGUAAGGGUUCAUGGCCAAAGUUGAGCUGUUCUGAUCUAAUAAAGACAGGAGAUAAAAACGUGGGUAACUUCAGGAAGAUUCUCACUGUUUGAUGACACCAAAUCAGCAGAGUUCAGGGUGAUGAUCAGUGAGAGAACUCACUGUAAAGGACACUGGGACAUACCAGUGUGGAGUUGAAAAGAUUUUUAUGGACAUUUACACACCAGUGGAACUAAAAGUAAAGGAAGGUGAGUCUCCAACCACUGCCUUCUGUUUAUCUGUCAUUAGCAGACGAAAGACCAAGUUUUCACACAUAUAUUUAUUCAUAUUCAUUACAAAACUUUAUCAUUGUAACAUAUUUUUUACUUUUUACUCUUCUGUUCAAAUACUGACAUAAAACGUUUCCCUUUUCCUGCCUGAAAUAUUAAUUAUAUUUCUGUGCAUUUUAAUUUAUUUCCUGAUUAUAUUUAAAACAGCAAAUUAAACCAACCUGCAAACAGAACAUUCAUUCUUCUUUUAGUCACUUCUUGUAUUUAUUUCAGUUCAUGUGCCACUUAUCUUUGCAAGACUUUUCAUUACAAUGUGUGUAUCUGAGCAUGUUGUCUUUGCUCAUUAUAUAAUUUACCUCUUUGCUUAGACACUUCAUUAUGUUUCUGAUUGCUCUGUACUGUUCUGUUUGCCUGAUAUUUCACUCCUGCCUUUUUUCACCAUAAGUUACCUCAUUACAGUUGUAAUUGUUUGAACAUGAUUUAAAUAUUAGUAAAAGAUAACACAAGUGAACACAACAUGCAGUUUUUAAAUGAAGGUUUUUAUUAUUGAGGAAAAUAAAAUCCAAAACGACAUGGCCCUGUGUGAAAAAGUGUUUGGCCCCUAAACCUAACUGGUUGGGCCGCCAUUAGCAGCAACAACUGCUAUCAAGCUUUUGCAAUAACUUGUGCUGAGUCUGUUACAGCGCUGUGGAGAAAUUUUUGUCAUCUAUGCAGAAUUGUUGUAAUUCAGCCACAUUGGAGAGUUUGUAGAGACAUGAAGACACAUUGUCUCAUCAAUAACACAUACACUAACUACAUUUGGUGAAUUUGAUCCCUUAUAAAUGUACAGCAGGUAAAUAAAAGUGACUGUUUCUCCUCCAGGAUUUUCAGCUUCCACUGUGAUCACUGUGUCUGUAAUUUUGCUUUUGAUUGGAAUUUUAAUCUCUUUUGUGAUUUUACAAAAGAGAUGCAAUAUACAAGCAGGUUCUAUUUGUACUACAGCUUCAUUUUGUAGUCAUUCUGACCAAGAUUCAGGAAAUGACAAAGGGGUUCCUCUUGCAGUGUGUGAAUAUGAGGGGGAGAAAUAUGCUGAAGGUCUGAUGUACACAACAGUGAUUAUGUACAGCAAUUCCACCAGCUCUAAUGAUGCAGUUAUAAGCAUUAAAGAUGAGGACUCAUGUGAAUAUACUUGUCAGUUACACUGCUUUAUGUGGAUAAAUUAUUGGAUGGAGAUUAUGUCAUUUAUUUUUCUUCUUACCCCAAAAUCAUGACUGUUACAUGUAGAAACACCAAAUCUUCAAUAAAAUGCAGU